UACAGAGGGUGCGAGCGUUAGUCGGAAUUACUGGGCGUAAAGCGCGCGUAGGCGGCUUUUCAAGUCGAUUGUGAAAAUCCCCCGGGCUUAACCUGGGAACUGCAGUCGAGACUGUCUAGCUAGAGUAUGGGAGAGGGAAGUGGAAUUUCAGGUGUAGCGGUGAAAUGCGUAGAUAUCUGAAGGAACAUCAGUGGCGAAAGCGACUUCCUGGACCAAUACUGACGCUCAUGUGCGAAGCGUGGGGAGCAAACAGG
rnacentral:rRNA from 1 species